rnacentral:rRNA from 1 species
UACGUAGGGUGCGAGCGUUGUCCGGAAUUACUGGGCGUAAAGAGCUCGUAGGUGGUUUGUCGCGUUGUUCGUGAAAACCUGAGGCUUAACCUUGGGCGUGCGGGCGAUACGGGCAGACUGGAGUACUGCAGGGGAGACUGGAAUUCCUGGUGUAGCGGUGGAAUGCGCAGAUAUCAGGAGGAACACCGGUGGCGAAGGCGGGUCUCUGGGCAGUAACUGACGCUGAGGAGCGAAAGCGUGGGGAGCGGACAGG